UACGGAGGGUGCAAGCGUUGUUCGGAAUCACGGGGCGUAAAGGGCGUGUAGGCGGUCCGCUAAGUCUGAUGUGAAAGCCCGGGGCUCACCCCCGGAAGGGCAUUGGAAACUGGCGGACUCGAGUCCCGGAGAGGAAGGUGGAAUUCCUGGUGUAGCGGUGAAAUGCGUAGAUAUCAGGAGGAAUACCGGUGGCGAAGGCGGCCUUCUGGACGGUGACUGACGCUGAGGAGCGAAAGCCAGGGGAGCAAACGGG
rnacentral:rRNA from 1 species